rnacentral:RNase_P_RNA from 1 species
ACACGAAAGAUAAUCGCUGCAUUUAAUGUGUAGAGGAAAGUCCAUGCUCGCACCACCUGUGAUGGUGGUAGUGUUUGUGUUCGACAAAAAAAUAAGUCGAAGCAUAGAGGCAUCUAUGACGGCAGACCAAAUCCCUAAGGGAAACUAUGGGAGGCGGCUUGAAAGUGCCACAGUGACGAAGUCCCUUUCGAAAGACUGGGAGUGGAACGAGGUAAACCCCAUAAGCGAGAAACCCAAAUUUGGUAGGGGAACUGGCACUAUCGAAUCAAAGAGAUGUGCCGGACGUCUAUGACGUAGAUAAAUGAUUAUCGCAACAGAACAUGGCUUAUUG